GGUGCAGGCUUACAUAGCUGGAAGCAUGGGGUGCAGGUGCGGGCUUACAUAGCUAGAAGCAUGGGGUGCAGGUGCGGGCUUACAUAGCUAGAAGCAUGGGGUGCAGGCUUACGUAGCUAGAAGCAUGGGGUGCAGGCUUACAUAGCUGGAAGCAUGGGGUGCAGGUGCGGGCUUACAUAGCUAGAAGCAUGGGGUGCAGGUGCAGGCUUACGUAGCUAGAAGCAUGGGGUGCAGGCUUACGUAGCUAGAAGCAUGGGGUGCAGGCUUACAUAGCUGGAAGCAUGGGGUGCAGGUGCGGGCUUACAUAGCUGGAAGCAUGGGGUGCAGGUGCAGGCUUACAUAGCUGGAAGCAUGGGGUGCAGGUGCAGGCUUACAUAGCUGGAAGCAU